rnacentral:tRNA from 1 species
GAGUGUGUAGCUCAGCGGUAGAGCACUACGUUGACAUCGUAGGGGUCAUAGGUUCAAUCCCUAUUACGCUCA